UACUUUUUCAAAAGGUCCUAUGCGCCAAAAGUAAACAAACUGAGUUAUUCAAUGCAUGACGGUCUGCAUAUCCGAAACUACACUAUCCUCAAACCCGAUUUCUUCUAAGUAUUUAAUUUUUAAAAAUAUUAGCGAAAUGCAAAAUAACCUAUGAGCAUUCUCUUAAAUUUUUAUACAAAAUAAUUUACGUCGUUUUACCUCUCAGUGUCCUAUGUGCAUUCAGUAAAAUGAUGCACAUACGACAAUAACAAAUCAACCUAUGUACAAUUUUAAAUAUAUUUCAAUCAUUAUGCACAUACGCUAAUAUAAUAACGACGUAUGUACGCAUUUUAUUGAAUAAUUAGAAAGUAAUGAUAGAUUUUUUUAUAUCCAUAUAUCUUUUUAAAAAUAAUGUUUGUCUAGGAUCCGGUUAACGUGCAGACGUCAGCUGUAAGAGAGUAUGAAAUGUUUCAAUGCCUGACACAGCAAAAGAGAAGAGCGAAAUUUAACCAAUGAGCUCUCUCUCUCGAAUCUGGCGGAUACGACUCCCAGCAUGACAAACCAAAACAACUCAUAAAACAGCAUAAAAUAUGUUUUUUGUUUUGGUUCAUAGGAUCGCGAACAGAUCAUUGUUGUGGACUGUUUGAGUUUAAAAAAAAAGUGUCGGAGGGCGAAGAAUUGCGGCAACAAAAAAAUACGCACUAUUUUACGGUACCUGGUCCCCCGACAACGACCAACCAAACGGCGGCGGACGUGGUACAGAGGACGCUUUUAGAAACCUUAAAAAAGCCAUCCGCUUCGUGGUCAUGGUCUCGUCAGAGAUCCUCAAGACGAACGUUGAAUACAUUAAGAUUGCCGGGUGGAUCGGCUAUCAACAACUUCGCCAACGACGAGCUCAUAAUGACGCACGCAGGUGCAGAUCGUCUGGGCCGCUUGGGACAAGGUGUCCGAGAAUCCAAAAUACUCCUCCCAAACGGCAUCAAGUCGGCAACCUAACAGACUCGUUCAUGCCCCCUGGCAGUUUGCGGCGUUCGAUUCAUACGAGCACUUUACCCAGUACUCGGACGAGAUCCUGGACUUGCUCGGAGACAUGACUACGAGGCGUUCGUCAACUCGAAGAUGCUGGAGAUGGUAAAUGCGCGCGAUUCGGAACGCCGCAUAAGCACCUCGAUCAACGCAAUUGAUUCCAGUUUUGUGCGACUCGCGCUCUUCAAAUCCCCAGCUGACCUCACCCGUCGGCCAAGCAACAGCCGUAGAACCCGUUCGGAGAUCCAACCCCUGAGAUCGGAAUAAUUCUUUGGCGAAGAGCAAGGAUCUCAGGGCAGCUCCUAAAUCAACAUCAUGUAUCCUUCGUUACCGCAGGUUCAACCGAUCGCUCACCCCCAAUCCGUCGUUGUUCUCCCCGGAGUACAUCGUCAUCGACGGAGGUUACUCGACGCAUCUGUCGAAGCAAGUUAGCCAGACCAUGCUGGGCAGUGAAGUAGCAGAUACAACGCAACCAACCCGAACGCGGUCACCGAAACUCAUCUGGACAUCUUCAAAGCUGGUGCCGAUUACAUCGUGAUCAACACGUACCUCCAUCGAAUGACCAUCUCGUGUCAAAAGGAAGCGGAAGUCCGGCUGAAACAUCCAACGGGUUUCUUUGAGAUUUCCAGUGCAAAAAUGGCGACAACACAUGUACAAUAUGUUGCGUCAACAUGAAAUAAAGUCAAUAAAUUUAGUUAUACAUUUUGUAAAUCAUAACCUUACGAAAAAUACAGUCAAAAAUGGUGAAUCUA